CAUGUGCUCGUGCACAUAGACACAGACAGAGUUUGCAGCACACUGUGGGGGAGUUUUAUGAUGGGGUCGCCUCUAUAAAACUGGCUGUAACUAACAAAGGGGUGAAGAUUUUGCAGAGGGACACACUGGCCUCGUCUUCCCUUCUAGAAGUGCACGCUUAAAUGAAGAUGAAUAAAGAUGAAUAAAGGCUUUGUGAAAUAACUACUGAGUUCCGGUGCCGUCUCUGGAUGCCUCGACGAAUAAAAGAACCGGGGUAAAACUGAUUUCGCAACAGUUUUGGUGCCGUGAAACCCGGGAUUCGCUCGAGGCCCAGAGAGGAUGAAUUGGCAGAGCUGAGAUCGUGAAACGAGGCAAACAGAGAGCUAGCUCACAUGAUUAAAAGAUGUCGUGAGGUGCCAUGACGAGAAGGAGUGGCUGAGAGGAUCGUCCACAAGAUGGGAGCUGAGGCCAGGAGAGAGGCUUCAGGAGGAUCAGAGAUCAUCUUCAGCACAGCAGACAUCACACAGAGAGCUGUGCUACUGAGCUUCCAGGAGAUCAAGAGGAGACUUCCCACAGCAAGAUUUUAAAUAAAAUGAAAGAUUCAAUGUUGACGCUGAGGAAGACAACUAAGGUGUACGACGUGCUCUGCCUUAAAUCUUCAGCAGCGUUGGAACAUGAGAACCUGAGGGAUGGAGAGAGCGUGCCAAGCUCCAAAAGUGACAGCGCAGAGGAAGUCCAGCGAUGGAAUUGUGAUUCUGUGUGAGGCACAAAUACUAGGAGACUGGGAAAUAGUUGACACCACUUUUCCCAAGGAUGAAGAUCACCUAAAGUGUGUCACUUUGCCAUGCAGAUUUGAUGCUCUGCAGAGAAGCCUUCUGUGAGGGAGAGAUGUAAACAGACGAGCCUUUUAUCUACAUUUAAAUCAUGUCAACUUCUCUAGGCUGGUUGAGGGGGAAUUGGAGAGAAACGGUAGUGUUAGGUGUGACUGUGGUUAUUGUAACUGUGAUUUUUCUUAUAAGUGAAUUGCCCAGAGACAGACCUGAAUCCAUUCCAGCGACUCCACCAUCACAGGCCACGGUGAAGCGAACCAAACGUAGUGAAACAGGUAAAUCAGAUGAGUGUUUUGAUUAUUAUGGCGGUAUAGAGUUGGACUAC